CGGACCUCAGAUCAGGCAAGACCACCCGCUGAGUUUAAGCAUAUCACUAAGCGGAGGAAAAGAAACUAACAAGGA
rnacentral:rRNA from 3 species